rnacentral:rRNA from 1 species
GAUGAACGCUGGCGGCGCGCCUAAUACAUGCAAGUCGAGCGAACGGACGAGAAGCUUGCUUCUCUGAUGUUAGCGGCGGACGGGUGAGUAACACGUGGAUAACCUACCUAUAAGACUGGGAUAACUUCGGGAAACCGGAGCUAGUACCGGAUAAUAUUUUGAACCGCAUGGUUCAAAAGUGAAAGACGGUCUUGCUGUCACUUAUAGAUGGAUCCGCGCUGCAUUAGCUAGUUGGUAAGGUAACGGCUUACCAAGGCAACGAUGCAUAGCCGACCUGAGAGGGUGAUCGGCCACACUGGAACUGAGACACGGUCCAGACUCCUACGGGAGGCAGCAGUAGGGAAUCUUCCGCAAUGGGCGAAAGCCUGACGGAGCAACGCCGCGUGAGUGAUGAAGGUCUUCGGAUCGUAAAACUCUGUUAUUAGGGAAGAACAUAUGUGUAAGUAACUGUGCACAUCUUGACGGUACCUAAUCAGAAAGCCACGGCUAACUACGUG